rnacentral:misc_RNA from 1 species
CUGGGGGCGCGCGAAGAUGCUGAUGAAGCCUUUGGCGAACUUGAACUCCGUUCGAUUUUCGUCGCCUAGGACGACGGAGUUGUGAUUGACACGUCUCACUGGGGAGAUGGACGAAGUCCAUCGCGUUGGCCAAGUUGCAGCGCUCUUGAAUUCUUGGCUGAGGAUUUUGCCCCCCCCUUCCCAUUGCAUACAAAUACUGUGGCAUAGAAGAUUGCUAGCUGCGUUCCAGCGAGAGGUAUCCAGGUACGCGUAUGGUGAGCGAUGCAUACCAACACGCGCGAGCAUUACGGCAUGCAGUAAAAUGCAGUUUCGAGAUUAACGGGUAUUUCAGGAUUAUCUUCUAGCUCUUUUUUUCCUUAUGAGAUGUGCUUGGCUUGUGUUUUGCUGAGCCAAUAAAGGGAGCUUUUAUGUGGUGCGCAAGCGAACCAGGCCACGCGGGGGUGCAGGUCUGAUAGCUGUAGCUCCGUUCCUCUAAAUGAUGUCACCACUCUGCGAGUCUGCGGUGCUUGCAGGUGUGGAGGCUGGGCUUGAAGUCUGCAGGUAUUAUAUUGACAGCGCCUCUCACGCGCAUUUGUUUGUAAUCCCGUUGGCUGGUUAUGUCUUUGGAUGAAGAGUGUAUGCUGCUCUAGGUACAGGCCAUCUGUGACGGCCUUCGCUAGAAUAGUACCUGAAAGUUUUUUUGAUUUUUUACCUACGCUAAUGCUACUGCUUUCACUGUGCGGCAUCGUUUUUUUUUUCCGGUUGCUGUGGAGGUAGAGGGUUCUUGUACUGCUCGGAGCCGUUGCCUUUCUUUUGUAUAAGACAUAGAGACCAACUUCGGUUCACUGGCGGGCAAGACUUUUUUGCCUGCUGUCAUUGUGUAGUUUAAUGCAAUCAUCCACUUUUCGUCUUGUUAACUAGCUGGUCUCCCUAAGGCUAGUAACAGUACGGACAGCCUGUAAGGAAUUCCUGUUAUCGGGAAAUUCGCAAUUCCGUCAUGACGCUCGUCUCCCUGCGCGUUGACUCCCCGGAAGUGCCGACUUGACGGGCUGUGUGGAACAGGACGAUUCAUCCUCAAAUGACAGUGGCAGAUUGUUUUUCCCGCCAUCUUCUCUCUUCUCAGUAAUAAAGCACUUGAACUGCUGUUUAAGCUCAUUCUUGAGAGAGGUCUCAACUCUAUACGGUGAGAUCGAGUUGUCCUCACUGCUUCGAUGUUCUUGCGCGCGCGCUAUGAAAGAAGCUUCCAUGGAUCUUUUGUUCUACGUUCUGUAACGCUAGUCGUUGACUACGCUUUCCAAUGCGACGCUAUCAUCGAGUUGCCACGACUGCGAUGAGUCAAAGAAGAGGUGCCUCUUUUUAUAAUUUUGCCUUCUGCGUGGUAUAAUCUCUUGGUGUUUUUAGUGAGUCGGCCCGAGGGCCGUGUGUACAUGCAAGAAGCGCUUCUGAUGGAGUUGUUUCGUUCAUUGGUCACGCAGAACACCGCACUGGAUGCUGUGUGCGCAUUUUAGGCAAGAUUUUUGUUCUUCGUGCGACUCAUGCACUGGCUGUGGUAGGACUGUGCUUUCAUGUUUUAAAGCGGUAGCGUUUCCUUGGACAUCGGACGCUGCUACCAACCCGAGUUUGUGCGGCACCGACAAAGGAAAAGCGCCGCCUCGAGCAUCGCGGUACGUAAGUUGUAUCGGAACAUUUGUACGCAAAAGCUCGAUUUUCUACUGCUGUAUUCCGUGUGAAGAAUUUUCUAGUUCAAGAAAAGAAGUAUAUUCUCUUUUCUGUUAGAGCAGAUCGUAGGCUUGCGAUGCGGAGAACCAGUAGGCCCCGAAGUAGAUGAGCAUCCGCAGCAAGGUAUUUUUACCGAUUUCCGUCAUAUUAUAUGAAGGAGCGCAAGAGCUCUGGUCUUGCGGGCAACGUGUCUGCUUUCGCUCAUGCGCCUCUUGCAUCACUGUUCUUCUAGAUGCUCUGUUCAAGACGUCUUCAGCUCUCGGGCACUUGGCUAUCUGUGUUUUCUUUUUCUGCUUAUGGUGGUGCAAAAUGUAAGCUUUGAACGUCUAAUUUGUGCUCCUUGGAGAUCUUCGAUGCAGGUAGGUCUAAUCAUCUCGCAUGUGUGUUUGCCGAGGUUAUUUUUUUUCCUCGCUCGAUGCUCAGAAAUACCGUAGUCAACAAGCUUUUACGUGCGUCGUUGUGACGGCUACUUUUUCGUUCCAAUGACGCCGGUUUUGCUCGCACCGUAAGCCGUUAUCGUGCGGCUGAUGGUUGUGUCCUAGCUCCUGCUCUUCUAGAUGGGUCCUGAAGUUCUGUUUCUGCGAGCAACCGUUGCUGUUACAGGAAAAUCGUAGCUUCCUGGAUGUAGUAUUGGCCUGCUAUGUUGCAAUGGGUGUCAUUUUAGUGGUGCUUGUGCUCAUUCAUCGCUGAAGUGGUGAUAGUCGGUUUUUCUGUUCUCGAUCGUCAUGUUAUGCGCCGGCGCUGAUGGUGCUCUCUGAUCCACCUUCAGUGGCAAUGUCUCCUUCUCGGAAGUGUUUUCUUUCCUCUCACCACAUCAAGGUCACAAAACCUUUCUCUAGCUCUGGCUGAUGCUGAUAGCUGUUAGCUAUUGCUUCGCCAGCCACUUCUGAAGCUGCUUUUGGAGCAGUACAAGAUUGAUUCGAACGCCUUGCUUUUGCUAAUAUGAUAAGAAAAGGGCUUGUGUGUCUCCCUUGCCAUUCUUAUUGUCUCGUACGAGGGAAAGGCUAGCUACAUUUUUGUCCUUCGGGGUGCAGGACUACUCACUACCUGAGCGCACAGGUUUCUGGACUACUUCAGCCUCGCUAUCGGCCCAGAGGAAAAGGUGAUUGUGUGGUUCUGCUUGUAGCGGUUUGAGAGGAUGCAAGCGCAGAAAGGGAAAAAGAGCAACGAAACAAUGACAUAGAAGAUGGCAUAUCUAUCUGUCGAUGGUGAAAUAACAUAUGCUAUGCAUAUGUAAAAGAGACGUUUUUGUCCAACGAGUGUGUGCUGAACGAGCGUCGUUUCCCGGACUGGAUUUGAGGAAUCUGCGUUUCGCGGAU